UACGUAGGGUGCAAGCGUUGUCCGGAAUUAUUGGGCGUAAAGAGCUCGUAGGUGGUUUGUCGCGUCUGCUGUGAAAACCCAGGGCUUAACCCUGGGCCUGCAGUGGGUACGGGCAAACUAGAGUGCGGUAGGGGAGAUCGGAAUUCCUGGUGUAGCGGUGAAAUGCGCAGAUAUCAGGAGGAACACCGGUGGCGAAGGCGGAUCUCCGGGCCGUAACUGACGCUGAGGAGCGAAAGCAUGGGUAGCGAACAGG
rnacentral:rRNA from 1 species